rnacentral:rRNA from 1 species
UCAAGCUAUAAAGAGCGCAAGGGGAAUGCCUUGGCAUCAGGAGCCGAAGAAGGACGUGACAAGCUGCGAUAAGCCACGGGGAGGAGCAAAUAUCCGAUAUAUCCGUGGAUUUCCGAAUGGGGGAACCCGCUUGAGCAAUACUCAAGCAUCGUGCAUUGAAUCAAAUAGGUGUACGAGGGGAACGGUCUGAACUGAAACAUCUAAGUAGGACCAGGAAAAGACAUCAACCGAGAUUCCGCAAGUAGUGGCGAGCGAACGCGGAGGAGGCCAAACCGGAGGAUUUAUUCUCCGGGGUUGCGGACAGACAUCAUGAUCAGAGGAAGCUAGGAGAACGGCAUGGGAAGGCCGGCUAGAAAGGGUGAGAGCCCCGUAUCCGAAAGCAGGAGCUGACAGUCUGGAUCCAGAGUACCGCGGGACACGUGAAACCCCGUGGGAAACCGGGUGGACCACCAUCCAAGCCUAAAUACUACCUGAUGACCGAUAGAGGAGCAGUACCGUGAGGGAAAGGUGAAAAGGACCCCGGGAGGGGAGUGAAAGAGAACCUGAAACCUUGUGCUUACAAGCAGUCAAAGCACGUUAAAGUGUGAUGACGUACUUUUUGUAGAACGGUCCGGCGAGUUAUAGUAACGAGCAAGCUUAAGGUAUUCAGUACCGAAGGCGCAGCGAGAGCGAGUCUGAAUAGGGCGUAUAAAGUUCGUUGCCAUAGACCCGAAACCGGGUGACCUAUCCAUGAGCAGGCUGAAGUGGAGGUAAAACUCCAUGGAGGGCCGAACCGACCCCCGUUGCAAUGGUGGCGGAUGACUUGUGGAUAGCGGAGAAAUUCCAAUCGAACUCGGAGAUAGCUGGUUCUCCCCGAAAUAGCUUUAGGGCUAGCGUUAUCUUAGUUUACCGGAGGUAAAGCACUGAAUGGGCUAGGGGCCGAUAAGGUUACUGAACCCUAUCAAACUCUGAAUGCCGGAUAAAUGAUGGAUAGCAGUCAGACAGUGUGAGAUAAGUUUCAUUGUCAAAAGGGAAACAGCCCAGACCCACAGCUAAGGUCCCUAAUGUGCGCUAAGUGGAAAACGAUGUGGAGUUGCGAAAACAACCAGGAUGUUGGCUUAGAAGCAGCCACUCAUUAAAAGAGUGCGUAAUAGCUCACUGGUCGAGUGACUCUGCGCGGAAAAUAUAACGGGGCUAAGCACACAACCGAAGCUUGGGAUUGUCAAAAGACAGUGGUAGGGGAGCGUCGAAUACGGGGUGAAGUCGUAUCGGAAGGAACGGUGGACUGUAUUCGAGUGAGAAUGCCGGAAUGAGUAGCGAGAAUUAUGUGGGAAUCAUAAUGGCCGAAAAUCUAAGGUUUCUUGGGGAAGGUUCGUCCGCCCAAGGUAAGUCGGGAGCUAAGGCGAGGCCGAGAGGCGUAGUCGAUGCACAUACGGUAGAAAUUCCGUAACCACCGAAACUUAAGUUAGAGGGACACUUCGAGAUAGCGGAACCGCGGCGUUGGUAGACCGCGGCGAAAGGGACUGAAAUAUAGUAGGGAAGUCCGCGAUGCUCGGAGGCGAGAAAAGCUCUAAGGAAUGCUAAGGUGCCCGUACCGCAAACCGACACAGGUAGAUGAGGAGAGAAUCCUAAGGCCAACGGGAGAAGGGUUGUCAAGGAACUCGGCAAGUUGACCCCGUAACUUCGGAAGAAGGGGAGCCUCGAAAGAGGCCGCAGUGAAUAGGCCCAGGCAACUGUUUACCAAAAACACAGGUCUAUGCUAAAUCGAAAGAUGACGUAUAUGGGCUGACGCCUGCCCGGUGCCGGAAGGUUAAGAGGAGAUGUCAGGCAACGAAGCAUCGAAUUGAAGCCCCGGUAAACGGCGGCCGUAACUAUAACGGUCCUAAGGUAGCGAAAUUCCUUGUCAGGUAAGUUCUG